GCCGGGUGUGGUGGCUCACACCUGUAAUCCCAGCACUUUGGGAGGCCGAGGUGGGUGGAUCACCUGAGGCCAGGAGUUCGAGACCAGCCUGGCCAACAUGGCGAAACCCCAUCUCUA
rnacentral:SRP_RNA from 1 species